CUUGAACGCUGGCGGCAUGCCUUACACAUGCAAGUCGAACGGUAACAGGUCUUCGGAUGCUGACGAGUGGCGAACGGGUGAGUAAUACAUCGGAACGUGCCUAGUAGUGGGGGAUAACUACUCGAAAGAGUGGCUAAUACCGCAUGAGAUCUAUGGAUGAAAGCAGGGGAUCGCAAGACCUUGUGCUACUAGAGCGGCCGAUGGCAGAUUAGGUAGUUGGUGGGAUAAAAGCUUACCAAGCCGACGAUCUGUAGCUGGUCUGAGAGGACGAUCAGCCACACUGGGACUGAGACACGGCCCAGACUCCUACGGGAGGCAGCAGUGGGGAAUUUUGGACAAUGGGCGCAAGCCUGAUCCAGCAAUGCCGCGUGCAGGAUGAAGGCCUUCGGGUUGUAAACUGCUUUUGUACGGAACGAAAAGCCCUGGGUUAAUACCCUGGGGUCAUGACGGUACCGUAAGAAUAAGCACCGGCUAACUACGUGCCAGCAGCCGCCGUAAUAC
rnacentral:rRNA from 1 species